UAGCGUCCGCGGUGCACUUCAGAUCUAUUUUAGCCUUGAGCGGCAACGCAUGAUGUAUAAUACGUAAAAAUGCGAUCAACGGGUGAUGCGCAGUGAUGAGAUUAAAACGCGAUGAGAUAAUUAGUUGCUCAAUUCUUAAACACGUACGUAAAUGUUCGUAAUCGGCGUUUGUGUUCGAGCGCGCGGAUAUAACAUCGCGAUUGAUGUGCCUUCUAAUCGAUCGUUGCGCGAGUGAAAAUGCGGCACCGGAGGAUCCGGUUCGAGUGAAGGAAGUUCGGCUGCGAGAUCAAGCAGUGUCUGUGAUAAUCUGACAAUUAUUCGCGUUUGCAUUGUUAGAUUUUUAUCCGCGGAUGUUUAUCCGUAUUUUGCAUCGCGAGUGACGUACAGUAUUAAAGCACGACGUGUAACUAUUUGCUAAAAUUCGUAAGCAUAAUAUUCGUAAAUAAAUUCGUAAAUAUAUCCGUAAAUAAAUUUGUAAAUUCGUGAAUAUUGCUGUAACUGUUCGUUAAAUAGUUAAAAAGUGAAUAUUACAUCGCGAGUGAAGUGUGGACGGCAAAUGCAGUUGCGACGCCGGAGGAUCCGGUUCAGGCCAAGCAGGAUCGACUCGAAGAUGCAGGAGAUGUGAUCGAUCCUGAAUUGCCGGUUUUGGUGAGUGAAAAAUGUAACAACAUUUAAGGUGAUAGUUUCUUCUAUCUUGUCUGUUAGCUAAUCGAUGUCUAAUUGACGUCUUUUCAAUCAUCAUUUCUCACUGGGAUAUAUAAAAUAAAUUAUAGAAUAUUAUAAAUAUGGAAUUAAAAUAAUUAUACAAGAAAUGAGAUUUAACUCUAAAGUGAUAGAGUGAAUUUUUAUUUGCACAAUACUUUGCAUUCUUGUUAUAAAAAUUAUACUAACAUUAUUAAUUACGAUAUAAUAAUA